UGUGACGAUGCAGGAGAGCUCGGGCUUUGUGCCCGACGCCGACGGAGCAACCGCCCCGGAAACUCUCAGGCAAAAGAACCGUAUCGUCAGG
rnacentral:ncRNA from 1 species